UACGUAGGCAGCGAGCGUUGUUCGGAAUUACUGGGCGUAAAGAGUGUGUAGGCGGUGCUCUAAGUUUGGUGUGAAAUCUCCCGGUUCAACCGGGAGGCUGCAUUGAAUACUGGAAUGCUAGAGGGUGGGAGAGGUAAGCGGAAUUCCUGGUGUAGCGGUGAAAUGCGUAGAUAUCGGGAGGAACACCUAUGGCGAAGGCAGCUCGCUGGGACGUUACUGACGCUGAGACGCGAAAGCGUGGGGAGCAAACAGG
rnacentral:rRNA from 1 species